AGAUUGAACGCUGGCGGCAUGCCUAACACAUGCAAGUCGAACGCGAAAGGGGGCAACCCUGAGUAGAGUGGCGGACGGGUGAGUAACGCAUCGGAAUUUACCCUGUCGUGGGGGAUAACCAAGGGAAACUUUGGCUAAUACCGCAUGAUCUGGAGACAGCAAAGCGGGGGACCUGCAAGGGCCUCGCGCGAUGGGAUGAGCCGAUGUCUGAUUAGCUAGUUGGUAGGUAAAGCCUACCAAGGCGACGAUCAGUAGCUGGUCUGAGAGGAUGAUCAGCCACACUGGGACUGAGACACGGCCCAGACUCCUACGGGAGGCAGCAGUGGGAAUAUUGGACAAGUGGGGGCAACCCGUGAUCCAGCAAUGCCGCGUGUGUGAAGAAGGCCUGGCGGGUUGUAAAAGCUACGUUUUGU
rnacentral:rRNA from 1 species